GACGAACGCUGGCGGCGUGCUUAACACAUGCAAGUCGAACGGAGUGGCGAACGGGUGAGUAACACGUGGGUGACCUGCCCCGCACUUCGGGAUAAGCCUGGGAAACUGGGUCUAAUACCGGAUAGUGUGGGAUGGGCCCGCGGCCUAUCAGCUUGUUGGUGGGGUAAUGGCCUACCAAGGCGGCGACGGAUAGCCGGCCUGUGAGGGUGGACCGCCACAGUAGGCCUGAGGCACGGACCAGACUCGUACUGGAGACAGCGGUGGGAAAUAUUGCGCAAUAGGCGGAAGGCUGAUACAGAGACGCCGCGUGGGGGAAGACGGCCUACUGGUUGUAAACUCCUUUCACCGUCGACGCGGUAGAUGAAGAAGAAGCACCGGCUAACUACGUGCCAGCAGCCGCGGUAAUUC
rnacentral:rRNA from 1 species